GGGCUUCUGAUCUUGAUGGGCUUCGCUGGACUAGGCCGAAAUCCAAUGGGUUGAAGACACUUGCUGGACUUGAAGACUUCAACUGGGCUGAGAACAGGUUGGAUGGGCAGCGGGCUUUGUUGCGGCUGAUCCACGAACGAGAUGGGCUGAGCGAGGAUGGGCUGGGGACGGGCCCAACUGCUGGGCCGAGCAAAGAAGAAGUUGCUGGGCCGAUCCACGAAGAUGCUGGCUCCGUGCGAGGGACACGGACGAACGGGCAGGGAGAAAACUUGGUGGAGCAGCUUCUGCCGUGAGCUGCUUCGAUCGGUUGCUGCUUGACGAGUGGACAACUUGCGGUCAACGAUGGAGCGGUAUUCACGAGCCCUCGAUGGCCAGAGUUGCUGCAGGGAAAGACUUCAAUCGUGGGCUG
rnacentral:lncRNA from 1 species